rnacentral:rRNA from 1 species
GAGGCCGGUGCCUAAGGUAAAAUCUAUGACUGGGAUUAAGUCGUAACAAGGUAGCCGUAGGAGAACCUGCGGCUGGAUCACCUCCUUUCUAAGGA